rnacentral:rRNA from 1 species
UGGGGAAUAUUGCACAAUGGGGGAAACCCUGAUGCAGCGACGCCGCGUGAGCGAAGAAGGUUUUCGAAUCGUAAAGCUCUGUCCUAUGGGAAGAUAAUGACGGUACCAUAGGAGGAAGCCCCGGCUAACUACGUGCCAGCAGCCGCGGUAAUACGUAGGGGGCAAGCGUUGUCCGGAAUCACUGGGCGUAAAGGGUUCGCAGGCGGAAAUGCAAGUCAGUUGUGAAUGGCAGAGGCUCAACCUCUGUAAGCAAUUGAAACUGUAUUUCUUGAGAUGUGGAGAGGCAAGUGGAAUUCCUAGUGUAGCGGUGAAAUGCGUAGAUAUUAGGAAGAAUACCGGUGGCGAAGGCGACUUGCUGGACACAAACUGACGCUGAGGAACGAAAGCGUGGGUAGCAAACAGG